CCUACGGGCGGCAGCAGUGAGGAAUAUUGGUCAAUGGACGCAAGUCUGAACCAGCCAUGCCGCGUGCAGGAAGACGGCUCUAUGAGUUGUAAACUGCUUUUGUACGAGGGUAAACGCAGACACGUGUACCUGUUUGAAAGUACUGUAUGAAUAAGGAUCGGCUAACUCCGUGCCAGCAGCCGCGGUAAUACGGAGGAUUCAAGCGUUAUCCGGAUUUAUUGGGUUUAAAGGGUGCGUAGGUGGUCGGAUAAGUUAGUGGUGAAAUCCCGAGGCUCAACCUCGGAAUUGCCACUGAUACUGGUCGGCUAGAGAGUAGUUGCGGUAGGCGGAAUGUGUGGUGUAGCGGUGAAAUGCUUAGAGAUCAUACAGAACACCGAUUGCGAAGGCAGCUUACCAAGCUACUUCUGACAUUGAGGCACGAAAGCGUGGGGAGCAAACAGGAUUAGAUACCCGAGUAGUC
rnacentral:rRNA from 1 species